UUAUUGGAUGAAGGUAUAUGGAUACUAAUUUCAUAUGAUGUUACUUAUAUUUGUUAUUUGUUAUUUGUUUAAUUUCAGAACCACACACACACACAUAUAUUAUAAAGCCAACUGCAAGACUGUUUGCCCAUGCCUACUCAACUGUUCAUUAAAUAACCUCAAUUCAGCAAUUGGUCUGGUUCCUGUGUCCUGACCGGCACCCGAGAGUGAUUACCACACAAAAUAAGACUCGGCAAUAGAACUCACUAUACAGUCCUUCUAAGUCUCACUAACAGUGGUCCUUCGAGCCGGAUGUGUGUCAUUUCUCUCUAGAAGAUGGAUAAUAGAGCCUCAACCAGACCUAAACAUUGGACCCACCUCCCACAUCAUUAUGAGGAGUACGAAAUGGGUUUUGUGCUGCCACAAAGACAGUUAUCUGAACCAAAAAUCAGUAGGCAUGGGCAAGAAGAGGAGUUGUGUUCACAAGAAAAGGGAGCUGCCAAGAUGACACCCCCCACUUUCAUCCAUCGUCAGUCACUAAGGGAUGCUGACUGUACAGAGGAACAGCACAUUGCAGCGAGACAAUACAGCCAAAGACCAGUUUCUGAAAUAUAGCGUUCAGCGUCAGUUCAGGCAGGCCGCGUAGUCAAGCUCCGCUAUCAGCUAAUACCCAGACCUAACAGCUGAUCUGAUUGCUAAGCACUCAGUUGGUCCCUUUCAAACAGGGCGCCCUAUUUAAAUGCAUUCUCACUCUGCUGCUUGGCUGCUUCCACUGCAUUGCUUGCAAGAGCGCAGCUUUUUGCAUAAGAUAAGAUAAGAUGAGAUUACUCUAAUAUUUUGCUGUACUCACCCAACUGCUGACCAUGUCUACCACCGCCGCAAAUGAUGAAGACCAAUGGCAAAUUGAAUCCAUCGAAGAGUCCCAGCAACAAAUAAGUCACGAAGCGGAAGCCAUUCAAGACAAAAGCAACGCUUCUGUCCGUCGGAGCUCUCGCCUGGCGAGUAAAUCAUAUAGUCCUCCCAGUAUCAUUGACUGGCCACUGGUGAAGUUACUGGAAACCUUGUAUAGACACGAUAUCCCAGCACCGACUGGAGCUACGCAUAAGGAACUGUUUGCUUUGCUCUGUGAAAAAAUUGAUGUCCCAGCAGCAGAUUUUCCUCCUCCUCCUCCUUUCUCAGGCAGGAAACAAGUGCAGAAGAAAAAGAAUUUCGACCCGGCUUCCACUCCGACUGAUUUUGCACUCAAGCGGGCAGGUGGUUCAGCCGUCUCAAACAGAGCAGUCAACUCUUCUUCAGUCCAAAGCAAAGACCCAGUGUUGUCAGCAUUGUCCAGCAAUCAGUUUUCGCUCUCCGACAUGAACUCCAGAAUUCAGGCUCUGGAGUCCGGUUCAACAUCGAAGUCCUCGGCAAAUCUUCUCUUCUCCGGCCCGCUUGCUGAGAACUCCUCAUUGGCCACGGCGCCGGUGCGGCUGCCCGUGCUUACUCAGCAGCAGGAUGAUGACGUCAUCAAUUCGGGGACUAUACCACGAAGAACGAUGGGAAGUGCAGUUCCAGUGUCUACAGGCUCUCCAUUCUUUCCACCGGCUGCUGCGAUUUCUCAUCAGUUGAGAAGCCAAAUCAUUGCAGGAGUCGUCCACAAGCUCAUCUGGAGGACCCAUUAUUUACAACGGAGGAGGGAAAGCCUAUGUCCAGAGCCUGGUUUGCAUCCCGUUUCCGUCUGCUGUGUCAAUACUGCGGGCUUCCCCCAGAGUGUUAUUCGGCUCAUUCAUUGCGCAUAGGUGCUGCUACAACUGCAGCUUCCUCUACUCCCGUUUCUACCCUUAAAGCUAUGGGAAGAUGGUCUUCAGCAGCUUAUGAACGGUACCUCCGGUCAGAUACUCGAGCCAUCCUUGAGGCUCAGAAAGCUAUGAGUGAUGCUUGUGAUCGGUAGUUGAAAUAAAUAUUGCUUCAGUAACUAUUGGGCUUAUUUA
ensembl:lncRNA